ensembl:miRNA Mir7228 microRNA 7228
UGGUGACCUGAACAGAUGUCGCAGUGUUCGGUCUCCAGU